ACAUUGUAGCACCAGUUCCUGUAUGAUCACUGAAGUUAAGCAACACCAGGCCUGCUCAGUAUAUAGAAGAGUGACCACUUGGGAAUAACAGUUGCUGUAAG